CCCAUCUCCAAGUUCAGAAGCGGAGCAGCUCUAAUGUCUACUCGGCAUUCGGAAGGAGACACCUUUUCUCGGACAGCCCGAGGAGGCACAUGACACGUGUGGAAGCCAGAGGACUACUUGCCAAAGAUAGUUUUCUCCUCCCAUCGCGUGGAUCCUGGGGAUCGAACUCAAGUCCUCAGACUUGUGAGCAAGCACCUUUAACCCGAUUAGCUGUCUCACCACCCUAAGGCUCCCUUUGUGAUGACAUUUUGUGAAGUUUGCCUUAAAACUCCAUGAAGCUUUGCGUCUGUGUAUGUGAUGGGGAUAUGUACACGAAGACCAUCUAGGUGCCAGGCUUCAAGGAGCUAGUCUAC